ACUCACUGACACAUGAGACACAUUGAGCAGAAGAUCCUGGAACUCACCAACAAGAUCAUUCAGCUGCUGACUGGAGAGGAGGGGGAGUAUAUAGAGGAACACAGGGGUCUGUACAAGGACGUGAUGAUGGAGAAUCACCGGCCCCUCACAUCACUGGAUGGGCCCAGUAACAGAGAUACCCCAGAGAGAUGUCCCCGUCCUCUGUAUUCCCAGGAUUGUACAGAGGAGAAUCACAGGAUCCCACAGGAG